UCUUACUCUUUGUGAGUUUUUGCUCUUGUUUUUGGAGGAUUUCCAAAAUAAGGAAAGGUUGAUCCGAACCUGAAAUCGGAGUGUUUUGAGUUUGCUUGUACCCGGGAAACAAGUGAUCUAGCUUGGGAUAGCUAGUGUCGGAGUUUCCGACGUUUUGUAUUCGGGUUGAAUACAAAGGAUAGUGGAUUGAAAUUCUCAAGUGGGAUCUUGGGGAGUGGAUGUAGGUGCAAGGUUAGCACCGAACCACUAUAAAUUCUUGUGUUUGUGGUGUGCUUUAUCGCUUUAUCUUAUUUCUUUAUUAUAUCCUUGCAAUACUGCUUUAGGUAAUUAAUAUUGUUUUAAGCCAUUGUUUUGUUCUUCAUAAGUUAUCUGUUGGGCUUAAAAUUUUUAGAAACCCAAUUCACCCCCCCCCC
rnacentral:lncRNA from 1 species